AUAGCGUUAUUUAUAAAUUUUUUAGAUUAUUAUUUCUAUCGAUUCUCGAAUUUUCAACGGAUUUUCAUCAAUUAAUUAAAGAAAUGGAGAGAUCAUGGACUAUAGUAAGGUUUAUAGAUGAAGAUACAGUUGAAGCUGUCCCAUCUACCUGGAUUAUCAAUAAAAAAUGUUAUUGGCCACCGUUUCACAUGGAAAAAAUUGUAGCGGCUAUCAAAAAACAUGCCGAACCAAAUACAUGUUGGCCUUCAUAUAAUGUUAUGACUUUCAGAAACAGCAGUUAUGAUAACUAUAAAACAGCCAGGGAAAAAGCCAAAAAGGCUGAAUUAACAUCUGAAUUAAACUCCGAGACUGAUAAUGAUAACAUUUCGAAAAGAAAAAUUAUCCCAAAGAAAUUCUUUUCGUCAUCAGAUGAAUCUACCGAAGAGUGCACUAAAUUACGGACGCCUCCAAUUAUGAACA